UUUACGAGUCCUCGGCGUCAGGAGUGAACGCUGGCGGCGUGCCUAACACAUGCAAGUCGAACGGGGCGCGCAGGCUGAGGCUUUUCGGAGCGGAAGCCGGCGCUGCCCAGUGGCGGACGGGUGAGUAACGCGUGGGCAACCUGCCCUGCACUGGGGGACAACAGCCGGAAACGGCUGCUAAUACCGCAUAUGCCCGCAGCCCCGCAUGGGGCGGCGGGGGAAGCUCCGGCGGUGCAGGAUGGGCCCGCGUCUGAUUAGCUGGUUGGCGGGGCAACGGCCCACCAAGGCGACGAUCAGUAGCCGGCCUGAGAGGGUGGGCGGCCACAUUGGGACUGAGACACGGCCCAGACUCCUACGGGAGGCAGCAGUGGGGGAUAUUGCACAAUGGGGGGGAACCCUGAUGCAGCGACGCCGCGUGGGCGAUGGAGUGCUUCGGCAUGUAAAGCCCUAUCAGCAGGGAAGAAAAUGACGGUACCUGACUAAGAAGCCCCGGCUAAAUACGUG
rnacentral:rRNA from 1 species